GACGUAGGUGGCAAACGUUAUCCGGAAUUAUUGGGCGUAAAGGGUGCGUAGGUGGUUCAAUAAGUUACUGGUGGCAAAUCGGGGCCCAACCCCGUGGAAGUCAGUAAUACUAUUAAACUAGAGGAUCGGAGAGGUUAAUGGAAUUCUAUGUGUAGCGGUAAAAUGCUCAAAUAUAUAGAGGAACGCCAAGCGGCGAAGGCAGUUAACUAUUCGGUUCCUGACAUUGAGGCACGAAGGCGUGGGGAGCAAACAGG
rnacentral:rRNA from 1 species